GAGGGUAUAGCUUAGUGGUAAAGUGCCUGCUUAACAUGCACGAGGCCCUGGGUUCAAUCUCCAGUACCUCUG
rnacentral:tRNA from 1 species